CUUUACUAUAGCGUGUUAUUGAAAUUAGUUUUUUGUUGCUUAGUAUAGGUGGGAGACUCUGACGCAUUCCUUCCGGGGAAUGCUGAGUCGAAAUGUGAAAUACCACCCUGCAAUGAAUUGAUUUCUAACCAAGCCUUAACCUAGCUUGGGACAGUGACUCGUGGGUAGUUUAACUGGGGCGGUUGCCUCCUAAAUGGUAACGGAGGCGUUUAUUAAGGUAUGCUAGGCAUGGAUGGAAAUCAUGCUGGUAGUGCAAACGCAUAAGCAUGCUUGACUGCAAGAGCGGCGACUCGAGCAGGUACGAAAGUAGAAGUUAGUGAUCCGAUGCGUUCGAGUGGAAGACGCAAAGCCCAACGGAUAAAAGUUA
rnacentral:rRNA from 1 species